AAUUGUCAUGGGACCCUAAGACUUGGUUCCCAUGAAGAGCUCCAGGGGGAGGAGGACGAUGUUUGGGGUGUCCAGUGUGAAGUGCAGCUGUUGGAGUCUGGGGGAGGCUUGGUCCAGCCUGGGGGGUCCCUGAGAUUCUCCUGUGCAGCCUCUGGAUUCACCUUCAGUGACUACUACGUGGGCUGGUUCUGCCAAGCUCCAGGGAAGGGGCUGGAGUGGGUUGGCCGUAUUAGAAAAAAAGCUGACAGUUACACCACAGAAUAUGCCGCGUCUAUGAAAGGCAGAUUCACCAUCUUAAGAGACGAUUCAAAGAACACACUGUAUCUGCAAAUGAACAGCCUGAAAACCGAGGACACGGCCCUGUAUUACUGUGGUAGAGAAACAGCGAGGGGAGGUCAGUGUGGGCCCAGACACAAACCUCCCUGCAGGGGCGCGCGGGGCCACCAGGGGGCGUGCGGGAACCACUGAGGACAGGACAGGUCCCAGGAGCAGGUGCUGGGGGAGGUUUCCUUUCUCAGCUGCAGGAGGCGGGUUUGUUUUUGCAGGACUCUUGAGCCUUAUGAGGUUGCAAUAUUUUGUACCAGAUAAGCACAAAACACGUAAUUUCAUUAUGCUUUGCUUUAGUUUUUCAAAACAACAUAAAGGUAAUCAUUUUCCCAACAAACAUGAUACAGCCUACUAUAUAUGAGAUGCUUCUUAUGUUCCAAGGUUUCUUUUCAGGACUUACUAUGGAUUACAUAUUUUCAAUUUUUUUCUGACGUGGAAUGCCAAUGCCUCUGGAUUAUAGAUUAU